rnacentral:lncRNA from 1 species
GGACGCGUCGGGGCUGCGCAAGGGGGAGUGGGUCAUGCCGGAGACCGACCUGUGGGUGAUAAGCUGGCAGGGGCUGCCGAUCUACGGCGCGGACUUCGGCUGGGGGCGGCCGGCGUUCAUGGGCAGGGCCUGUUAGACUUCGUACUGUAGCCCUACUGUGUAAACCAUACCUUAUUGGUAUUGGACUUGCAUGUCAUCAAUAUAUAUAUAUAUAUGUGUGUGUGUGUGUGUGUGUGAUAAGCCACCCUUUUGAGAGUUGAGCCAGUUCCCCAAAACAUACGUUUUACAUGGUAUCGAAUCUAACCUAGAUCCUCCACCCCACCCGCCGCCGCGCCAAAAACCCUAAACCCUAGGGCCGCCGCUGCCGCCGCCGACGCCAUGACCGCUUCCGCUUCGGGCGCCGCCAGCUCCGGGUCCAUCCCCGCGUCGCUUGCCACCCUCCUCAACCUCCCACCUCACCCCUGGCUCCGCCGGUGCCCCAGUUCUUUGGCACCACCGCUGUGGGCUCCAUGUUCUCAGCUCCAAUCCCGCCGCCGUCGCCUGCAACCUCCGCCGCCACGACGGCGAUCCUACCCGUGGCGCCACCCGCGGCCUCUUCCUCAUCACUUGCCGUCCUCCCGGCGGCCUCGGGGGAGGUUCCGCCCGCGGUGCCACCCGCGGCCACGCUCGCGACUCUGUCUGCGGCCGUGAUCCCGUCCCUGCCCGCGGUGCCACCCGCGGCAUCGGUCGCGGCCGUGGAUCCUGUCGCGGCUCCGCCGCCAAUCGUCCCUGCUGCUGGCGCAAUCACGCCCACCGGGCCGUUCCACUUCAACAACUUAGUCGCCAUCUGCCUCACGCCGGACAACUACUUGUUCUGGCGCGCUAAGGUCCUACCGCUGCUACGCAGCCGGUCUCUCCUAGGGUUUGUUGAUAGUUCGCUACCGUGUCCUUCGCAGGUCAUCCCUACCGUCCACGGCCCGGCCAUCAACCCGGAACACCGUAUGUGGGUGCAGCAGGACCAGGCGAUCCUCUCUGCCAUCCAGGGUUCCCUCGGCGACGGGGUCGCUGGCCUUUGUGUCUUCGCCGCCACCUCCAUGGACACCUGGACGACCCUGGAGCACGCCUUUGCCCAGGUCUCUACCUCCCGCUCGAUGGCCCUUCACAGCGAGCUCGCCGACAUCAAGAAACUAGACUCCUCCGCUACGACCUACUUCAACAAGAAGAAGGUGCUGGCGGACACGCUCACCUCUAUUGGUCGGCCGCUUAGCGACGAGGAGUUCGCCGGCUUCGUCAUCAAAGGCCUCGACGUCGACUACGAGAAUCUCGCCGAGGCCGUUCACAACGCCAAGCCAGCGAUGCCUCCUCACGAGCUCUAUGCACGCCUCCUCUUCACCGAGCAACGCGUCGAGGCUCGUCGCUCCUCCGCCACCAUCACCGCCCAGCCGGCGGCCUUCUGGGCCUCUUGCGGCCAGCGCCCCCUUGCCCCGUCACCUGGCAAGGCAGCCCUGCCCCCUGCAUCGACCCUGGGUGGGGGCCCUAACACUAGGGUGGUGUGCCAGCUAUGUGGUCGUGAACGCCAUGUCGCCUCCAAGUGUCACCGCCGCUUUCAGAGGAGCUUCCUUGGCAUCGGCAACGACGGCAAGGGCAACGAGCGCCAGUUUGCCAUGGCAGACUUUGGUCCUCCCGCUGCCGCCCCGUCUGCCCACAUCGCCGCCAAGGGCAAGGACCAGCGCGUCGAGCACGGAUACACACCAUCUUACCCCGUUGAUCCAGCCUGGUAUAUGGACACUGGCGCCACGGAUCACAUGACGAACGAGCUCAACAAACUCUCCACCUACCAGCCCUACUACGGGCACGAUCAGGUUCACACUGCCAAUGGUGUAGGUAUGCGCAUCUCUCACAUUGGCCGAGCAUCUCUUUUAACUAGUCAUCCCUCUAGGCAGCUCCAUCUUCGUAAUGUUUUACGGGUACCCUCGGUGACUCGUAAUCUUUUAUCUGUCCCUAAGCUCACCCUUGAUAAUCAUGUCCUAUGUGAAUUUCACCCUUUUAAUCUUUUUGUUAAGGAUCAAGCAACCCGGGACGUUCUGCUUAGUGGCCGGUUGAGCCAAGGCUUGUACCGUUUGGAGGAUCCAUCCGCCCCGUGCGUCUUCAGCGGUGUUCGUGUGUCGCCUUCCCAGUGGCACUCUCGCUUUGGUCACCCCGCCACAUCCAUCGUUCGCCACAUAAUCCACUGUCAUGAGCUGCCAUUAGUGUCUAGCAAUAAAGAGAUGUCCGUGUGUGAUGCCUGUCAACAAGGCAAGAGUCAUCAACUACCUUUUGUUUCAUCUACUAGAGAAGUAAAGAACCCUCUUGAAAUUAUGUUUUUUGAUGUGUGGGGUCCGGCACAAACAUCUGUUAGUGGUCACAACUAUUAUGUCAGUUUUGUUGAUGCCUAUAGUCGCUUCACGUGGCUUUAUCUUCUUAAGCGCAAAUCUGAUUUGUUUGAUAUAUUCAUACAGUUUCAAUUGCAUGUUGAACGUCUACUCAAGCAUAAAAUUAUCCAUGUUCAGUCAGAUUGGGGGGGGGGGGCGAAUAUCGCAACCUCAACACUUUCUUUAAUAAGCUUGGGAUCUCUCAUCGUUUAUCAUGCCCGCAUACACAUCAGCAGAAUUGCGCUGUUGAGCGCAAACAUCGCCAUAUAGUUGAGACCGGCCUCACACUUCUUGCUCAUGCUUCUGUACCCUUUCUUUUUGGAGUGAUGCUUUUGCUACCGCGUGUUUUCUCAUUAACAGAUUACCUAUGCGUGUUCUUAAUAUGAAAACUCCUAUUGAGCUUCUCUUAGGUGAAAUUCCUGACUAUACCUUUUUUAAGGUGUUCGGGUGUGCCUGCUGGCCUCAUCUUCGUCCUUAUAAUGAUCGCAAACUUGAGUUUCGCUCCAAAAAGUGUGUGUUCUUAGGGUAUAGUUCUCUCCAUAAAGGCUACAAGUGUCUCCAUGUCCCAACCAAUCGAGUCUACAUAUCUCGGGAUGUUGUUUUUGAUGAGACCGUCUUCCCCUUUUCUGCCAUGCCUUAGUCAUCCACCACAGCACCGUCUAUACAUUCAUCUCCUCUUAUGCCUGGCCAAUUUGAAGAUGUUGCAUAUUCGCCUGUGUUGUUACCUAAUCAUGGUGCAGGAAUUGGACGUGGAGCUCGCCUGGAACUCCUCCCUGACGGACCCGCUACGUCGCCGGUGGUGCACGUCGAUCGGCCGGUGCAUGCACCGCCUCCCGCCCGCGACCCCGCCACGGCCGCCCCGUCUCCAACCAUGCCUGGGCCGGAGCCCAUGCUAGCUACUGCGACCGGGCCAGAGCCCGCGACGGCCUCCUCUGAGCAGUCUUCGUCGCCGCCUCCUCGCCCGGACUCCCCUUCAUCGUCGCCACCGCCAUCCGCGCGUGCGUCCCUGCUACCUACUUCGCCCGGGUCUGCAGUGGCUCACACGCCGCCAGGGCCUACGUCGCCUGGCCUGCUGUCGUCCGGUCCGCCGUCGCCCGGCCCGCCGUCACCUGGUCCUUCUUCGCCGGAGUCCCCUGGACCGGCCUCACCUGCUCCGGACAUCCCGCCGGCCCCGGUGUUCGCUCCUCCGCGACGUCCACACACUCGCAGCCGCAGUGGCAUUCUUCGUCCCAAGGAGUGCACCGAUGGCACGGUCACCUAUCUUGCUGCUUGCCUGGCUCAUGCUGUGGAUGAUCCAACCGCCGAACCACGCAGUUAUCAAGCCGCUAUGAGUAUUCCACACUGGAGGGCUGCUAUGGAACAAGAAUAUCAUGCUCUUAUGAAGAAUAAGACCUGGACACUUAUUCCCCCUCCGUCUCGCGUCAACAUCAUUGAUUCGAAGUGGGUGUUCAAGGUGAAGAAACAUGCAGAUGGUUCCAUUGAGCGCUACAAAGCGCGCCUCGUGGCUAAGGGCUUUAAACAGCGUCAGGGUUUGGACUAUGAGGAUACAUUCAGCCCAGUUGUCAAGCCUACCACUAUUCGACUUCUUCUGUCUCUGGCAGUUUCUCGCGGAUGGUCUCUCCGCCAGCUUGAUGUGCAGAACGCUUUUCUUCAUGGAUUGCUUGAAGAAGAGGUUUACAUGCGGCAGCCACCUGGAUUUGUUGAUCACACUCAGCCUCAUCAUCUCUGUCAUCUGGCGAAGGCCAUAUAUGGACUGAAGCAGGCUCCCCUCGCCUGGCUUCAGCUCUACGCACUCAUGGGUUCAUUCCUUCGACGACAGAUACUUCACUGUUCUUGUUUCAGCGACCGAGUGUGACCAUGUACCUCCUUGUGUAUGUGGAUGAUAUUGUCCUGGUGAGCUCAUCUCCAACGGCUGCUGAUGCUCUUGUGACUGCACUUGGUCAUGAUUUUGCAGUUAAGGAUUUGGGACAGCUACAUUUCUUCUUGGGUAUUGAGGUCACUCAUCAGUCUCGUGGCAGUUUGGCUCUCACCCAGAAGAAGUACUCUCUUGAUCUCUUGCGCCGUGCUGGUAUGCUCAAGUGCAAGCCAUCGCCUACGUCCAUGUCCUCCACUGACACCCUUUCUGCUGCUGAUGGUGCCCUUCUCUCUCUUGAGGAUGCUACUGAGUACAGGAGUAUUGUUGGUGGCCUGCAGUAUCUGACGAUCACGCAUCCUGAUCUCUCCUUUGCGGUUAACAGGGUGUGCCAGUAUCUUCAUGCUCCUACUGAUGUACACUGGUCUGCUGUGAAGCGCAUACUGCGUUAUGUGCGUCUCACUGUCUCCUUUGGUCUUCACCUGCGCCCCAGUUCCUCCGGAGUUCUUUCUGCAUUCUCUGAUGCUGAUUGGGCUGGUCCAGUUGACAGGCGAUCCACGGGGGACAUGCUGUGUUCUUGGGUCCUAAUCUGAUCGCCUGGAGUGCACGCAAACAAGCCACUGUUUCCCGCAGCAGCACAAAAGCUGAGUACAAGUCGGUUGCCAAUGCGACUGCCGAACUUAUAUGGAUUGAGUCCCUACUUCGAGAGCUAGGAGUUGCUCAGCCACAUCCUUCGGUCCUUUGGUGUGACAACAUCGGUGCUACGUUUCUGUCGUCAAACCCGGUGUUCCUUGCACGGACUAAACACAUUGAGAUUGACUAUCAUUUUGUGAGGGAACGUGUUGCACAGAAGCUACUACAAGCCAGGUUUAUCUCUUUAAAAGAUCAACUUGCAGACAUCUUCACCAAGCCUCUACCUUCUCCCAUGUUUGAGGUCUGUAGGCGCAAUCUCAACCUCCUAGAUACUUCAGGAGUGAGUUGAGAUUGAGGGAGAGUGUUAGACUUCGUAUUGUAGCCCUACUGUGUAAACCAUACCUUAUUGAUAUUGGACUUGUAUGUCAUCAAUAUAUAUAUGUGAUAGGCCACCCCUUUGAGGGUUGAGCCAGUUCCCCCAAAAGCUACGUUUUACAGGGCCUGCCUCCAGUUCAGCGGCCUCGUGUACCUCGUGCCUGGCCCUGACGACGACGGCCGGCUGGACGUGGUGGUGGCCAUGGAGCCCGAGAGCCUGGCCAGGUUCAGGGAGGUGUUCUACCAGGAGCUCAUGCACUACUAGUCCGUUCUC